CCUACGGGUGGCAGCAGUGAGGAAUAUUGGACAAUGGGCGAGAGCCUGAACCAGCCAAGCCGCGUGAGGGAAGAAGGUACAGCGUAUCGUAAACCUCUUUUGUCAGGGAACAAAGGCGGGGACUAGUCCCCGGAUGCGGGUACCUGAAACAAAAGCAUCGGCUAACUCCGUGCCAGCAGCCGCGGUAAUACGGAGGAUGCGAGCGUUAUCCGGAUUUAUUGGGUGAAAAGGGUGCGCAGGCGGCCUGUAAAGUCAGAGGUAAAAGCCCGGGGCUCAACCCCGGCGAGCCGUUGAAACUGGGGCGCUGGAGUUGGAGAGAAGUACGCGGAAUGCGCGGUGUAGCGGUGAAAUGCUUAGAUAUGGGGCGGAACCCCGGUUGCGAAGGCAGCGUACCGGGUCCACACUGACGCUGAGGCACGAAAGCGUGGGUAUCGAACAGGAUUAGAUACCCGGGUAGUC
rnacentral:rRNA from 1 species